rnacentral:misc_RNA from 1 species
UCUCCGUUGGUGAAUCAGCGGAGGGAUCAUUACCGAGUUUACAACUCCCAAACCCCAUGCGAACCUUACCAAACGUUGCUUCGGCGGGAUGCCCCGGGCGCGGGCCGCAAGGCCUCAGCCCCGGAACCAGGCGCCCGCCGGAGGCCCAAACCAAGCUCUUGUUUUUGUAGAAUCUUCUGAGUGGCCUUUUAGGCAAAAAAUGAAUCAAAACUUUCAACAACGGAUCUCUUGGUUCUA